GGCUUAGAAGCAGCCAUCCUUUAAAGAAAGCGUAAUAGCUCACUAGUUCAGCGAAUGCGCGCCGAAAAUUCACGGGACUAAACAUGUUACCGAAGCUGUGGAAUUUCCGACGGAAGUCGGGAGUUGGUAGAGGAGCGUUCCGUAAGCCAGAGAAGGUUUUCCGACAAGGGAAGCUGGAGGUAUCGGAAAUGAGAAUGCUGGGAUAAGUAGCGAUAAUGAAGGUGAAAAACCUUCACACCGAAAAUCUAAGGUUUCCUGGGCAAGGCUCGUCCUCCCAGGGUAAGUCGGGUCCUAAGCCGAGGCGGAAAAAUACGCGUAGGCGAUGGCAAACAGGUUUAAAAUUCCUGUACCUUUAUUGAGUAGCGAAGUGGUGACGCGGGAAGCUAUAAGUCAGCCCCCUGUUGGAUGGGGGUCUAAGCGCAUGGGCAGAACUCUUUGGCAAAUCCGGGAGUUUAAUGCUGAAGCGUGAUGGGGAACGGAAAUCUUCGGAUGAAGGAACUGACUGAAGCUCGACCGCCAGGAAAAGCCUCUAAGCGUUGUAACUUGAUGGAGCCCGUACCGUAAUCCGACACAGGUAGAUGAGGCGAGUAGCCUAAGGUGCGCGAGAGAACCGUGGUAAAGGAACUCGGCAAAAUAGCCCCGUAACUUCGGGAGAAGGGGUUCCUGAGUAAUCAGGACGCAGUGAAGAGGCUCAAGCGACUGUUUAACAAAAACACAGCACUCUGCGAAAUCGAAAGAUGACAUAUAGGGUGUGACACGUGCCCGGUGCCGGAAGGUUAACAGGAGAUGUCAGGGGGUUUACCCUCGAAGCGUUGAAUCGAAGCCCCGGUAAACGGCGGCCGUAACUAUAACGGUCCUAAGGUAGCGAAAUUCCUUGUCGGGUAAGUUCCGACCUGCACGAAUCGUGUAACGACUUGAGCACUGUCUCUACCACGGACUCGGCGAAAUUGGAUUACUGGUGAAGAUACCAGUUACCCGCAGUUAGACGGAAAGACCCCAUGAACCUUUACUGCAACUUGGCAUUGGGUUUUGACUGCGCAUGUGCAGGAUAGGUGGGAGACUUUGAAGUCGCGGCGCCAGCCGUGAUGGAGUCAACCUUGACAUACCACCCUUGUUCAGUUGAAAUUCUAACCUUGCGCCCUGAAUCGGGCGCGGGGACAGUGCCAGGGGGCCAGUUUGACUGGGGCGGUCGCCUCCUAAAUUGUAACGGAGGCACGCAAAGGUUCCCUCAGCAUGGUCGGUAAUCAUGCGUCGAGUGUAAAGGCAUAAGGGAGCUUAACUGUGAGACAGACAAGUCGAACAGAUGCGAAAGCAGGCCUUAGUGAUCCGGCGGUUGGAAAUGGAACUGCCGUCGCUCAAUGGAUAAAAGGUACUCUGGGGAUAACAGGCUUAUCGCGCCCGAGCGUUCACAGCGACGGCGCGGUUUGGCACCUCGAUGUCGGCUCGUCGCAUCCUGGGGCUGAAGAAGGUCCCAAGGGUUUGGCUGUUC
rnacentral:rRNA from 1 species